AUUGAACGCUGGCGGCAUGCUUUACACAUGCAAGUCGAACGGCAGCACGGGGCAACCUGGUGGCGAGUGGCGAACGGGUGAGUAAUGCAUCGGAACGUGCCAUUGAGUGGGGGAUAACGUAGCGAAAGUUGCGCUAAUACCGCAUAUUCUGUGAGCAGGAAAGCAGGGGACCGCAAGGCCUUGCGCUCUUUGAGCGGCCGAUGUCAGAUUAGCUAGUUGGUGAGGUAACGGCUUACCAAGGCGACGAUCUGUAGCGGGUCUGAGAGGAUGAUCCGCCACACUGGAACUGAGACACGGUCCAGACUCCUACGGGAGGCAGCAGUGGGAAUUUUGGACAAUGGGCGCAAGCCUGAUCCAGCCAUGCCGCGUGAGUGAAGAA
rnacentral:rRNA from 1 species